rnacentral:rRNA from 1 species
GACAGAGGAUGCAAGCGUUAUCCGGAAUGAUUGGGCGUAAAGCGUCUGUAGGUGGCUUUUAAGUCCGCCGUCAAAUCCCAGGGCUCAACCCUGGACAGGCGGUGGAAACUACCAAGCUGGAGUACGGUAGGGCAGAGGGAAUUCCGGUGGAGCGGUGAGAUGCGUAGAGAUCGGAAAGAACACCAACGGCGAAAGCACUCUGCUGGGCCGACACUGACACUGAGAGACGAAAGCUAGGGGAGCGAACGGG